CUGGGGCUCACCUGAUAGUCUAAACCAGGAACCCAGUAGAGAUCUGCUGUCUCUGCCUCCCCUGAGCCGCCACACCUGGCUUUUCAUCUCUCUGAGUGGUGUCACAGUGUGAAUGUGUUGUUGCAAAGUUCAUGUGUUGGAGACUGAUCACCCGACGCAACCACACAGAGAAGCAUGACCUUUACCAGAUGAUGAGUCGGUCCGGCGCCCUUGGCCUCCAGAGCACAUCCACACGCCCCCAUUUGGGGACUGGAUUUCUUGUCUUUGGAGUAACUUUCUGGCACAUCAUCAAUUUUGGUGUGAGCUGAGACUGACAGUCACCUGGGGCUGGACCCUCCUGAGUGAAAAUUCCAAUGCUUUCCAGAACCACACUGUGAACACGCCCCAUCCCCUGAAGAACCGAAGGGAAAAAAUAGAAUUUUCUCCUCCUUCUAAGGAAACGAGGCCAAAAUCACAGAAAACCACACAGGUAGACACGGCAGUUACGACUCCUGCUUCCAAAAGCUUUGUAGCCUUUGGAACAAUUCAGUAAGGAGUCUUUUAAUCUACUAAAGGAUUAAGAACCUGCCCUAGUUAGGUAAUGACCCAGUGCCAAGCAAAACCGGGUGGCCUCCAGCAGCAGCCUGGAGCAGCCUCUGUCCUCUUCUGGGGCAGAAAUCAAGGAAGAAGAAUGGACACAGAUGCUAGCCACCUGCUGGAAGAGGCUUGGGGACUGCCUGGGCCAGGAGUUCUGGUCCCCGGGAAGCCGGGUUUAGGCUGUCUUCCUGCCUCAAAUCUCUUUGAAUGGUGUCUCAUCCUUGCAGACCUCCUGAUUCCAUGUCUAUCCAUCUACCACAGGCAGAACCCACUUGAGCAGCUGCCCUCAUUCUGCCCAUGAGUUACAGGGGUUCAGUCAGUCAGUCACCUGAGGCUGCAGAAUCUGUAUCUUUCUGUAGGUUUGUAAUUCAUUCCUUCCCACCCCACUGACCUAUUUUCUGGAAAAAGGAAAUCACCAUCAAACAAAAGACCACUGUGCUGGUUAGUUUUUUUGUUAAGUUGACACAAACUAGAGUCACCUGGAAAGAGGAAACUUCAAUUAAGGAAUGGUUUCUAUUGAUUGGCCUUUGGCCAUGUCUGUGAGGCAUUUUCUUGAUUGCUGAAUGAUAUGGGAGGGCCCAGCGCACU